rnacentral:rRNA from 1 species
ACGGAGGAUGCGAGCGUUAUCCGGAUUCAUUGGGUUUAAAGGGUGCGUAGGCGGACAGUUAAGUCAGUGGUGAAAACCUGCAGCUUAACUGUAGAAUUGCCAUUGAUACUGUCAGUCUUGAGUAUGGUCAAGGUAGGCGGAAUGUGUAAUGUAGCGGUGAAAUGCUUAGAUAUUACACAGAACACCGAUUGCGUAGGCAGCUUACUGAGCCGACACUGACGCUGAUGCACGAAAGCGUGGGGAUCGAACAG